AUAGCGGCUUUAUUUUGACAAACACGACCUCAGACACAAGCAGGGUAGGCAGCGCCAGGUGUACAGAAGGGUAGGCUCGGCCCGAGCACCCCCUCCCCUACACGCAUGGUCUGGUGAAAACAAAACCGGCCGAGGUGUGGCUGGAGCCACGUUGUAACUGGGCGCAGGUCUCGGGUGGUGUGGACAGACUUAACCUCGGGAAAGUGGAAUAGAUUCCCAGAAUGCGAGCUUUUACCAUUUUCCCGCGAAACAAAAGAACCAGGUCUUUCCCAGGGCUCUCCGUAUUGUUCUCAGUUUCAAUUCGGCAAACACCACCAAAUGCUACAGCUGUAAAGUCCAAAGCAAUCUGCAUCUACGAAAUGUGCACGUAGCCUGGUGUGAGCGUGAGAAGCGGCUACUGAUCUAGCCCUGGCCCUUGGUGGGAAUCACAGGCCAGGAAGGGAGAGGCGGGUCCCUGGCAAGCUGCACACUAGUCCCCUUCAUUUACCACUCCCCUCACCAGCUGGGGUUAGCAUGCCUGGGAAGUACUGGGGGGAGGAGCGGUCUGAACACCUCAACCCAUGAUCCCAUUAUGCAGUUUGGUCCCAAUUUGGGGCUAGGAAGGCAGGGGCCUGACAAAGGUCAAGGUUCUGUAUCCUGGGACAGAAAGAACAGGCUAGCAAGUGUGUGCACACUCACCACCAGCCUUCAGCUAUCAGGGGUGGGUCUCUAGGUAUCCAAAGUGCUGAAAAGGAGUCCUGUGCCAGGGCGGAAGCACCAAAUCCCAAAUCCCAGCCCUUCCACUUUUACUGCCAGAUCUUGGAUUAUAAAUCCAAGACGGGAGGGCUACUCUAGGCACCUGGGAACUGGGGAGGCACAACACAUCCCUAGGCAGUCUCAAGUAGCCCUGAACCCACUCUCUUACCCACUACCCUGCCAGGAAGGCUGUCUACACUAAGGAAGAGUGACUGCCUUCACAGCCAAAGCCAGAGAAUGAUAAAAAUGGUCACUGACCAAAAAUAGGCAAAGCUGCACCUCCCAGCCCCAAGAACAGAACCUGCCAGCCAUGGGCCCCAGCCGGGGGGUCACAGGGCUGAGAGAGGAAGGCUCCAUCAAGGAACCUAUUUUAGGGGGAAAUCACUCCAUCAGUUACGAAGGCCUCUCAGACAUAGGUUUACUUCUGAAGCCAAAAUAGGGACGUGUCAAAAGCAACAAUGUCAGUGACCCUAUGCUUGGAUAAGGGCCAAUUCUGGCAAUGGCAGAGAGCAGAAUUACCUGCUGGCCAGCCACCUACGUACGUAACGAGGCAGCAAGUCUCCAUGCCACUAGGGGCUAGCAGCAAACAUCACUAAAAUCUGACACUUGAGCCUUUACUGCCUGCUGUCAGUGUCAAGGGCCACAGUUCACGCCUGCAAGAAGAGCACUGGAUCAGCAGAGAAACACUACCUACAAUUCACUCUGCCAUGAGGUCUUUUUU